UAAUACGUGGCACACGGCUCAGUAACACGUAGUCAACAUGCCCAGAGGACGUGGAUAACCUCGGGAAACUGAGGAUAAACCGCGAUAGGCCAUAAUUACUGGAAUGGGUUAUGGCUUAAACCUAUAUGGCCUCUGGAUUGGACUGCGGCCGAUCAGGCAGUUGGUGAGGUAAUGGCCCACCAAACCUGUUACCGGUACGGGCUCUGAGAGGAGGAGCCCGGAGAUGGGCACUGAGACAAGGGCCCAGGCCCUAUGGGGCGCAGCAGGCGCGAAACCUCUGCAAUAGGCGAAAGCCUGACAGGGUUACUCUGAGUGAUUCCCGCUAAGGGGAUCUUUUGGCACCUCUAAAAAUGGUGCAGAAUAAGGGGUGGGCAAGUCUGGUGUCAGCCGCCGCGGUAAUACCAGCACCCCGAGUGGUCGGGACGAUUAUUGGGCCUAAAGCAUCCGUAGCCGGUCAUGCAAGUCCUCCGUUAAAUCCACCUGCUCAACAGAUGGGCUGCGGAGGAUACUACAAGGCUAGGAGGCGGAAGAGGCAAGCGGUACUCAGUGGGUAGGGGUAAAAUCCUCUGAUCCAUUGAAGACCACCAGUGGCGAAGGCGGCUUGCCAAUACGCGCUCGACGGUGAGGGAUGAAAGCUGGGGGAGCAAACCGGAUUAGAUACCCGGGUAGUCCCAGCUGUAAAC
rnacentral:rRNA from 1 species